CCUACGUGUGACUGCAGUGGGGAAUAUUGCACAAUGGGGGAAACCCUGAUGCAGCGACGCCGCGUGAGUGAAGAAGUAUUUCGUUAUGUAAAGCUCUAUCAUCAGGGAAGAAAAUGACGGUAUCUGAAUAAUAAGCCCCGGCUAACUACGUGCCAGCAGCCGCGGUAAUACGUAGGGUGCAAGCGUUAUCCGGAUUGACUGGGUGUAAAGGGAGCGUAGACGGCAGUGCAAGUCUGAAGUGAAAGGCGAGGGCUAAACCCCAGGACUGCACUUGAAACUGUUCGGCUGGAGUGUAGGAGAGGUAAGUGGAAUUCCUAGUGUAGGGGUGAAAUGCGUAGAUAUUAAGAGGAACACUAGUGGCGAAGGCGGCUUACUGGAAUGUAACUGACGUUGAGGCUCGAAAGCGUGGGGAGCAAACAGGAUUAGAUACCCCAGUAGUA
rnacentral:rRNA from 1 species